UUAUGUGAACAAGCAAACCGGGAAUCUGAAGACAACAAGUGUGCUGAGCCGCCGUACGCUCACAGAUCUGAGGCGGAGCUAAAGGAAGAUUUCAGAGGCCGCAGCAUCACAUCACCUGCCAUCGAGGGUAGAUCUUUCAAGUCCAGCAUCACCAUCCAUCUCCCUCCUGCGUUAAAACAAGCUGCAAAAAAGGCUAACAAAGUCGCCUGCACUUUCUUCAAGAACAACUCCCUGCUCCAGGAGGGUCACAAAGAUGCCAAGCCUAUCAGUGAUGUGGUGGAAAUCACAGUGGAGAAUGAAAUCAUCAAAGAUCUGUCUGAGCCCAUUACGAUUGACUUUUAUCAUGAAGUCGUGUCUG